AUGGUGAUACCGCAGUGGUGGAGUAAUAUCUGAAUUCAAUUCGAGUGGGUACGUGGUCAAGUUUCAGGGACGAAACUUCUUUUAAGGGGGGGGGUAAGAUAAGGACUAAGAUUUUGACAGUAUAGCUAAACUCUUUGUUGACGAUGUUUUUGUGUGUAAUUUAAUUACAUAAGCACUCGUCAAGUUUUAGGAGAAAAUGAGUUAAGAUGGAGAAGUUACGCGACCAGAACCAAUGACUUAAAGUGAAUAGUAACUCCGGCUUUUCGGAGGAGCCAGCUAGUAGAGAGGAUUCUGGUACGCAUUGGACUCCGAUCAUAGCGCUCCAAUAGCUCGUUUCAAACGGCUCAACUAUUCUGGACCCAAUGGCACUGAUGGAAUUGGGUUCUGAUGCACGAUUUUCGAGAAAAAAGGGUUUGAUUGGAUUUAUAUAUAUAUGUGUUUUGUAGUAGAACAAUGAGGGCGGGUUUCGUCGAGAAUCAACGACCAAAUCAGAUGAAACAAAAUACUAUAGUCGUGUUGAACGCGCUGGCGUAAUCCGUUCGGAAAUCCGAUAGACGGAGCUUCGGAAAUUGUGAAUUGUUCGCUGAUGGGUCGAAUUGACGAAACAGAAACUUCACGAAAGGUCCAAUAUUUUAUGUACCAUUUUGCGAGGUUUCGAACGU
rnacentral:lncRNA from 1 species